rnacentral:tRNA from 2 species
CAGGGAAUAGUUUAAAU